UUCAAUAACAAUUUAAGUCUGAGAUGUAUGCCAAAGCAUUUUUAUACAAUUGAGAAUUACUUAAUCUAAUGUGCAACUUUAACUUGUAAGAUUUCACCUACAAAUAAGUAAAUAAAAAUUGUAUUGAGGGCUGAGGCAAUUGCUUUAUGCGUUUUGAUACUUAUCUUCGUGGUGCUUUAUAUAUUUUACUCAAGGAUAAGUAUACUCAGUUCUAUUAUUUGUGUGUUACUGCAGGCUGCAAGUUUGGAUUCUAUCACUUCACUCGUUAAGAAUGACUUGAUAACUAUUGAAACACUGGUCAAAGAGAUGGAAAUGUAUCUGACCACUACAGAUAAUGUCAUUCGAGCUAGAGGUACCCUUCUUCUUGCGGAAGUUCUUGGACGUCUUGCUUCAAAGCCACUAGGCAGUGCUAUCAUUCUUAG